rnacentral:tRNA from 1 species
CAUUAAGUGGCUGAAAUUUAAGCAUUGGUCUCUUAAACCAAAAUAUAGUAUAGUGAAACAUACUCUUAAUGG